rnacentral:rRNA from 1 species
GUGGCGGGUGCUAUACUGCAAGUCGAGCGGACCGACGGGAGCUUGCUCCCUUAGGUCAGCGGCGGACGGGUGAGUAACACGUGGGUAACCUGCCUGUAAGACUGGGAUAACUCCGGGAAACCGGGGCUAAUACCGGAUGCUUGAUUGAACCGCAUGGUUCAAUCAUAAAAGGUGGCUUUUAGCUACCACUUACAGAUGGACCCGCGGCGCAUUAGCUAGUUGGUGAGGUAACGGCUCACCAAGGCGACGAUGCGUAGCCGACCUGAGAGGGUGAUCGGCCACACUGGGACUGAAACACGGCCCAGACUCCUACGGGAGGCAGCAGUAGGGAAUCUUCCGCAAUGGACGAAAGUCUGACGGAGCAACGCCGCGUGAGUGAUGAAGGUUUUCGGAUCGUAAAACUCUGUUGUUAGGGAAGAACAAGUACCGUUCGAAUAGGGCGGUACCUUGACGGUACCUAACCAGAAAGCCACGGCUAACUACGUGCCAGCAGCCGCGGUAAUACGUAGGUGGCAAGCGUUGUCCGGAAUUAUUGGGCGUAAAGCGCGCGCAGGCGGUUUCUUAAGUCUGAUGUGAAAGCCCCCGGCUCAACCGGGGAGGGUCAUUGGAAACUGGGGAACUUGAGUGCAGAAGAAGAAAGUGGAAUUCCACGUGUAGCGGUGAAAUGCGUAAAGAUGUGGAGGAACACCAGUGGCGAAGGCGACUCUCUGGUCUGUAACUGACGCUGAGGCGCGAAAGCGUGGGGAGCGAACAGGAUUAGAAACCCUGGUAGUCCACGCCGUAAACGAUGAGUGCUAAGGGUUAGAGGGUUCCGCCCUUUAGUGCUGCAGCAACGCAUUAAGACUCCGCCUGGGGAGUACGGUCGCAGACUGAACUCAAGGAAUUGACGGGGCCGCACAGCGGGGGAACAUGGGGUUAAUUCAAGCACGCAAAAACUUACCAGGCUUGAAUCCCUGAAACCCAAAAAAAAGGGUUCCCUCCGGGGGAAG